UCAGAUGUAACUCACUAGAACUCAGUUCCAGCAACUCUCAGAUGGGCGCCAUUGCCAUUAUAAGAGAACAAGAAAGGCACUGAUGAUAGUAUCUUCAAUUACAGUAGAUCCACAGACAUCUGUUCCCCCCUGAAUUUUGAAAUAAGAGACAACCACUCUCGAUAAACGACUGCCGGAACACCUUGAAACAAAGAACACCAGCCCUCAGUGCCAAAGGAAAUGAUAGAGAGAUUAAAUCAAAACAGGCACUGAGAGUCUCCGUUCUCUUAGUGUGGAGAGCUGAGGGUAAAAGCUACAAUGGAUUCCAUCUAGCCACCGUCAACAGCCUCUCCUCAAAACAUGUGCUUAGAGGAGUCUUUGUCAACUUGGCACAACUCUGAGGUUGCGGACUGCAGCUGCCGCCAGCCCCAGCCUGCACGGGACACAGCCUGAUUUACCACCCCAGGGCUCUAGCACUUCGUUUCCAUCUGUUGCAUGUGUAGUUGCAGUUUGACACUGAGCUGGUCUGAUAAUAGAAGCAGGAGACACAGUCUGCUCCUUGCUGGAUCCAAAGCUGUGACUUGGGGGCUUGCCUGGAAUCCAAAUGGAGAAGCAAAAUGUUGUGGGGUUCAUGCUGUGAGCCCGCCCCCCCCCCGGUCGUCAAGUUGUAUAAUAUAUGUGUAAAUAAAGCCAUUCAUGCGAAAGACACCACAGUCUCCUCUGACCCUCAUUCCAAGGAAACUGAAAGCCGGGAAUGUAAGAAAGUGAAAUGCUUCUGGGAAAUGAUUUAUAAUGAGAUGAAAAAGAUGUUG